GACGAACGCUGGCGGCGUGCUUAACACAUGCAAGUCGAACGGUAAGGCCCUUCGGGGUACACGAGUGGCGAACGGGUGAGUAACACGUGGGUGAUCUGCCCUGCACUUCGGGAUAAGCCUGGGAAACUGGGUCUAAUACCGGAUAGGACCACUGCCUGCAUGGGUGGUGGUGGAAAGCUUUUGCGGUGUGGGAUGGGCCCGCGGCCUAUCAGCUUGUUGGUGGGGUGAUGGCCUACCAAGGCGACGACGGGUAGCCGGCCUGAGAGGGUGACCGGCCACACUGGGACGGGGGUUCGGCCCAGACUCGGACGGGAGGCAGCAGGGGGGAAUAUUGCACAAUGGGCGCAAGGCGGAUGCAGGGGCGCCGCGUGAGGGAUGACGGCCUUCGGGUUGUAAACCUCUUUCAGCGCCGACGAAGCGCAAGUGACGGUAGGUGCAGAAGAAGGACCGGCCAACUACGUGCCAGCCGCCGCAGUAAAAC
rnacentral:rRNA from 1 species